rnacentral:rRNA from 1 species
UGGAAAGAUGAAUCAAAGAAGGUAAUAAUCCUGUAGUCGAAAAUGUUGUCUCUCUUGAGUGGAUCCUGAGUACGACGGAGCACGUGAAAUUCCGUCGGAAUCUGGGAGGACCAUCUCCUAAGGCUAAAUACUCUCUAGUGACCGAUAGUGAACCAGUACCGUGAGGGAAAGGUGAAAAGCACCCCGGAAGGGGAGUGAAAUAGAACCUGAAACCGUGUGCUUACAAGUAGUCAGAGCCCGUUAAUGGGUGAUGGCGUGCCUUUUGUAGAAUGAACCGGCGAGUUACGAUUUGAUGCAAGGUUAAGCAGUAAAUGUGGAGCCGUAGCGAAAGCGAGUCUGAAUAGGGCGUUUAGUAUUUGGUCGUAGACCCGAAACCAGGUGAUCUACCCUUGGUCAGGUUGAAGUUCAGGUAACACUGAAUGGAGGACCGAACCGACUUACGUUGAAAAGUGAGCGGAUGAACUGAGGGUAGCGGAGAAAUUCCAAUCGAACCUGGAGAUAGCUGGUUCUCUCCGAAAUAGCUUUAGGGCUAGCCUCAAGUGAUGAUUAUUGGAGGUAGAGCACUGUUUGGACGAGGGGCCCCUCUCGGGUUACCGAAUUCAGACAAACUCCGAAUGCCAAUUAAUUUAACUUGGGAGUC